CUCGAGGAAGCGUGUCAACGGGAGUCGUAAAUUCUCGUUACGAUUAUACAAUCGACGCCACGAAAAGAUCGAUCCCCUAUUUUGUUUAGGAUAAUAGAGGAUAAUAAAAUUGAUUACAACAUUGAGUUAGCAGAUAUAGACGGUGAAGAGAUGACAGUUGACUGAUCUGAAGAUGAUGAACCAGCGAAGUUCGGUGACGAUGCUGUCGCAGAGGAAAACUAUUGCUGGGUGUUGGUCGCCACACCACCGGUCGCGUGCGGGUGGAAAUGACCGUCGAACAUGGGAAAAACCCGACUUUCUCAUUUUUUAUCUGAUGGAGCAAUAGCCAUAAGGAACCUCUUGACUUGAAGGUGUUUUAUACCAAUUAACGGCCUUAACGCGAGUGGCUGUCUUGACCGAGGGAUGAAUUCUGAUUGAUGUAAAGAGUCACCGGACGUAACAUAUCUACUAUUGUAAUAUUUCGUUUCGAGUAUGAAGAAAUUGUUUGCAAUUAUUUAAUGCGCUUCACAGAAACAUACUUUUUACAUGCUGUGAUGGAACAGAAGAUCGAAGUGGUACA